CAGAUACCCCCUCCGUCCCAUAUUAAGUGACUUUCUAUUACAUGUAUCUAGACAUUUUUUAAGCAUAGACACAUCCAUAUUUGGACAAAUUUGAGUCACUUAAUAUGGGACGGAGGGAGUAUUUU
rfam:Brachypodium distachyon strain Bd21 chromosome 3, whole genome shotgun sequence.